CAUUUAUCGAGAAAGGCAGAGGGAUUGGGCCCUAUGAAGCCUUGGCAACCUUUUCUGGUCAUCUGAUCAGGAUUUCGGUGCCAACUCCCAUCCAGGCAUUGUCUGGAAGAGAUAAAGU
rnacentral:ncRNA from 1 species